GAAAUGUGCAAACUGAACUUCUUUUUCUGCCUGAAAAAUGAAUAUUUAAAUCUUUUAAUCUGGACCUGGCAUCUCCUUUCAAUUAAAAAAAUUGGAAAUGCAGAGUAUUCACAUUUUCUAUCUUUAUUUUGCAAGAUUUAUGACCACAAUAUCCACUGUUCCUAUAAAUUUUAACAUAACUUCAUCAACUGAUAUGAAAACACUAUUGUUAUCAAGAACUGUAUGUGUUACAACAUAAUGGUUGACUUGCUUGGUUUGUGGGAAGAGGGAGAUGAAAGCACACUGAAUAUGCACCACCAGUAUACAUCAUGGUGCUCAGAAAUAAGAUAUAGUUGUGGAUAUAGAACUCCAGAUCAACAAUUCCUGCUUUAAAAAGAAAACCAAGUCCCAUGUGCAACGUGAGAACUUCACCAACCGCUGAGACAAUGAGACAGACAACAUUAAAGAGUCCUUAGCAUUCAAAUUGAAAAACAUUCCAGUAUUCCAAAAAUAAGAAAUCAAACAGAGAAACCACAAUAAUACAAACAAUAUCAAUGUCUACUGUUAAUCAGUAAGUUUAUUUGUAUGCAGGCUAUUUUUUAAGUUAGACCCAUUCUGAAUGUAGCUUGAAGUUUCAAGUGCACUUGAGAAGGAAUGUACGUGCAGGUUGCUGGGAUUCUUUGUGCAAAAUCCAAUACAUGUAUAUUCAGGAUGUCAGUUUGUAUGCUUUAGUCCAAGAUUAAAAUGUUUAGGAAAAUUGAACACCCUGCCAACUGAGUAAUCUGGUUCUUAACAGCAUGAAAUAUGAAAGCUGCAGAUAUUCAUCACCAUAUGUGUGAAGUAGACAUGACAAUGCAACGAGUGCAGUUAAAUGCAAAAAUGGAUGAUACUGUUCAAGGAAAACUGGAACAGAUGGAGAAGUGAACACGACUAUCACAGGCAGCAAUGUCCUAAGAAAAGAAUAUCCAAAACCCUUAGUAUUUGUUACAAUAAAUGUUUAAACUUCUGAAAACAUUACUUAGAAAAAUACAGAAUUGUCUGUAAAUUCAGAAAACAAACAGUUUUUUUUUAAUGUUUUGAUUGUUUUGUUUUUAUUUCAAAAUGGAUCUUAAAAAAUAACCCUUGUAUUUGAUAUUGUAAAAAUUUUACUUACAUAUCAUGGUGUUAUAUUCAAUCUCAAAA